AGAGUUUGAUCCUGGCUCAGGACGAACGCUGGCGGCGUGCCUAACACAUGCAAGUCGAACGGAAUUAANUUUAACACCGAACACUUUGUUUGGUGGAGACGCCUGACCGAGUGGUGGGUGUUGAGCUUAAUUUAGUGGCGGACGGGUGAGUAACGCGUGAGUAACCUGCCUUUCAGAGGGGGAUAACGUCUGGAAACAGACGCUAAUACCGCAUGACAUAUUUGGGCUGCAUGGUCUGAAUAUCAAAGGAGCAAUCCGCUGNAAAGAUGGACUCGCGUCCGAUUAGCUAGUUGGUGAGAUAAAGGCCCACCNAGGCGACGAUCGGUACCCGGACUGANAAGUUGAACGGCCACAUCGGGACUGAUACACUGCCCCAUACUCCUUACCGGAAGCAGUCAUCUGGGGGGAUAUUGCUCCCAUGGGAUGAAACUCCUGAUUGCCAGCAACCCCGCGUUGAACGGACGACCGUUUUCCGGAUCGUUAAACCCCCGUCCUUGGUGAACGAAAGAGUUUGAUCCUGGCUCAGGACGAACGCUGGCGGCGUGCCUAACACAUGCAAGUCGAACGGAAUUAANUUUAACACCGAACACUUUGUUUGGUGGAGACGCCUGACCGAGUGGUGGGUGUUGAGCUUAAUUUAGUGGCGGACGGGUGAGUAACGCGUGAGUAACCUGCCUUUCAGAGGGGGAUAACGUCUGGAAACAGACGCUAAUACCGCAUGACAUAUUUGGGCUGCAUGGUCUGAAUAUCAAAGGAGCAAUCCGCUGNAAAGAUGGACUCGCGUCCGAUUAGCUAGUUGGUGAGAUAAAGGCCCACCNAGGCGACGAUCGGUACCCGGACUGANAAGUUGAACGGCCACAUCGGGACUGAUACACUGCCCCAUACUCCUUACCGGAAGCAGUCAUCUGGGGGGAUAUUGCUCCCAUGGGAUGAAACUCCUGAUUGCCAGCAACCCCGCGUUGAACGGACGACCGUUUUCCGGAUCGUUAAACCCCCGUCCUUGGUGAACGAA
rnacentral:rRNA from 1 species